GAAAUGAACAUGAGUGAGCCUCCAGAGCCUUACGGGCCAAACGAGAAGCAGAUUUGUUUGCUGCUGCUUGUUCCGCCGUAGAUGACAUGAAGCUACCGUGGAAUAAAGUCACUGGGGUUAUUAUGGAUGGUGCACCUGCUGUGGCUGGGGAGAGAAAUGGACCCUAGUCUGUAACAAAGUCAGCAAACAAGGAGGGAGGAAAUCAGACAACUCUUAUAAUAACACAACAUGUGAACACGCUGAACAGGAGCCUUCAGGGGUAAAAUGCACUGGUAAGACAACUGUAUUCACACAUCAAAGCCUUUGGGACCAAACUGCUACUUUUCUAAAGACAUCUGUCACAAAUGCAGCCCAAUACCACACAUUUCCCAUCGCUACAGGAAAUAAUGACUAGUUUCCUACAGACCAAUGUUAGUGCGCAAUGAGGUGAUGCAGCAGACUUCUCUGGCUGAGAAGGUUCAACAGCACUUUUGGGAUUUUGCAGCUAUUGAAAAAAUCAUGCCUUUUUCCUCUCCCUCUUCCAUGGACCCUGAUGAUGCUCCUGACCAUUUGCAGCCGGAGCUCAUUGAGCUGCAGUGUGACACCGAGUAUCGCCGUCAGCACCAACAGCUUUUACCGCCAGCUAGAUAAAGGCGUGUUCCAAGAGAUUCGAACAUUUGCUAAGAAAAUACUGAGCUUGUUUGGCUCACAUACUUGUGCGAGAAGACAUUCCCCGUCAUGAACAUGAACAAGAAGCGUGAGGACGAGAUUAAGCGACUCACUUGCGUGACAUUUUGCGCAUCAGAACCACUGUUUCUGAGCCAGCCCUGGGCCAUUUACAAGGGUUACAUUUUAUUUCAAUUUCAUAUUUUUGAAAUUGAAAUAAAAAACAUCCAUUUUUGUUUUUGAGAUCUGAUUCAAAAUCCAAUAACAUAAAGUAGUUUUUUUCAUUUUUGAUGGUCAAUUUAAAAACCUAAAGAACGAGCGAUGUACGGAUUUAUAUGGCCCAGUGUUUGUACUUUUGAAUAAGUUAACUCUUAAUGUUAUUUUCCUG
ensembl:lncRNA